rfam:Myceliophthora thermophila ATCC 42464 chromosome 3, complete sequence.
GGCAAGGUGGCCGAGUGGUUAAGGCGCUAGAUUUAGGUUAGAAACUUUCUAAUCUCUAGUGGGAAACCGCGCGAGUUCGAAUCUCGUCCUUGUCA